UCCAUCGUGGUGUAUCGGCUAGCAUCGCUCGCUUUCACAGCAGCCACCCUAGGGACAUCCUAGAUCAUUCAUGGUCCCGAGCAGAGCCGGGUUCGACUCCCGGCGAUGGAA